rnacentral:rRNA from 1 species
UGAGUACGAGCUGCUACGGCAGCGAAGUGGGUGAUGUCAAGCUUCCAAGAAAAGCCCUAUACCCGUUAAGGCAUGACGGCCUGUACCCGAAACCGACACAGGUGGGGUGGUAGAGAAUACCGAGGGGCGCGAGAUAACUCUCUCUAAGGAACUCGGCAAAAUGGCCCCGUAACUUCGGGAGAAGGGGUGCCACCGCAAGGUGGUCGCAGUGAAGAGGCCCAGGCGACUGUUUACCAAAAACACAGGUCUCCGCUAAGUCGCAAGACGAUGUAUGGGGGCUGACGCCUGCCCAGUGCCGGAAGGUUAAGGAAGCUGGUCAGCGCAAGCGAAGCUGGCGACUGAAGCCCCGGUGAACGGCGGCCGUAACUAUAACGGUCCUAAGGUAGCGAAAUUCCUUGUCGGGUAAGUUCCGACCCGCACGAAAGGCGUAACGAUCUGGGCGCUGUCUCGGAGAGAGGCUCGGCGAGAUAGAAUUGUCUGUGAAGAUGCGGACUACGUGCACCCGGACAGAAAGACCCUAUGAAGCUUUACUGUAGCUUGGUAUUGUGCCCGGGCUCUGAAUGCGCAGGAUAGGUGGGAGGCUUUGAUCCAUUGCUUGUGGGUGAUGGUGAGCCACUGGUGAGAUACCACUCUUUCAGAGCUAGGGUUCUAACGGUCACCCGUUAUCCGGGGACUGGACAGUAUCAGGUGGGCAGUUUGACUUGGGCGGUCGCCUCCUAAAAGGUAACGGAGGCGCGCAAAGGUUCCCUCAGGCUGGUUGGAAAUCAGCCGACGAGUGUAAAGGCAGAAGGGAGCUUGACUGUGAGACCUACAAGUCGAACAGGGACGAAAGUCGGCCUUAGUGAUCCGACGGUUCUGAGUGGAAGAGCCGUCGCUCAACGGAUAAAAGUUACUCUAAGGAUAACAGGCUGAUCUCCCCCAAGAGUUCACAUCGACGGGGAGGUUUGGCACCUCGAUGUCGGCUCAUCGCAACCUGGGGCUGAAGUCGGUCCCAAGGGUUGGGCUGUUCGCCCAUUAAAGCGGUACGCGAGCUGGGUUCAGAACGUCGUGAGACAGUUCGGUCCAUAUCCGGUGCACGCGCAGGAACAUUGAGAGGAUUUCUCCCUAGUACGAGAGGACCGGGAGGAACGCACCUCUGGUGUACCAGUUAUCGUGCCAACGGUAAACGCUGGGUAGCCAUGUGCGGAGCGGAUAACCGCUGAAAGCAUCUAAGUGGGAAGCCCACCUCAAGAUGAGUGUUCCCAUGGCAAAAGCCAGUAAGGUCACGGGAAGAACACCCGUUGAUAGGCUCUACGUGGAAGCGUGGCAACACGUGAAGCGGAGGAGUACUAAUAGACCGAGGGCUUGACC